UGGGGAAUAUUGCACAAUGGGCGAAAGCCUGAUGCAGCGACGCCGCGUGAGGGAUGACGGCCUUCGGGUUGUAAACCUCUUUCAGCAGGGACGAAGCGCAAGUGACGGUACCUGCAGAAGAAGCACCGGCUAACUACGUGCCAGCAGCCGCGGUAAUACGUAGGGUGCAAGCGUUGUCCGGAAUUACUGGGCGUAAAGAGUUCGUAGGCGGUUUGUCGCGUCGUUUGUGAAAACCAGCAGCUCAACUGCUGGCUUGCAGGCGAUACGGGCAGACUUGAGUACUGAAGGGGAGACUGGAAUUCCUGGUGUAGCGGUGAAAUGCGCAGAUAUCAGGAGGAACACCGGUGGCGAAGGCGGGUCUCUGGGCAGUAACUGACGCUGAGGAACGAAAGCGUGGGUAGCGAACAGG
rnacentral:rRNA from 1 species